rnacentral:rRNA from 1 species
AUUGAACGCUGGCGGCAUGCCUAACACAUGCAAGUCGAACGAGUGGCGGACUGGUGGGUAAUUUCUUGUCAACUGCCUGAUCGAGGGGUCUAAGUACUGGAACCGGUAGCUACUACUGCAUACCACCCUUUGUGCCCAGAUGGGAUUAGCUGGUUGGUGGGGUAACGGCUCUCCAAGGCGACGAUCCCUCGCUGGGCUGAGAUGAUGACCAGCCACACUGGAACUGAGACACGGUCCAGACUCCUACGGGAGGCAGCAGUGGGGAAUAUUGCACAAUGGGCGCAAGCCUGAUGCAGCCACGCCGCGUGUAUGAAGAAGGCCUUCGGGUUGUAAAGUACUUUCAGCGGGGAGGCGUUACCCGCAGAAGAAGCACCGGCUAACUCCGUGCCAGCAGCCGCGGUAAUAC